UAUUAUUGCUACAUCAGUUUGAGCUGC
rnacentral:sRNA from 1 species